GAUGAACGCUGGCGGCGUGCCUAAUACAUGCAAGUCGAGCGAACGGACGAGAAGCUUGCUUCUCUGAUGUUAGCGGCGGACGGGUGAGUAACACGUGGAUAACCUACCUAUAAGACUGGGAUAACUUCGGGAAACCGGAGCUAAUACCGGAUAAUAUUUUGAACCGCAUGGUUCAAAAGUGAAAGACGGUCUUGCUGUCACUUAUAGAUGGAUCCGCGCUGCAUUAGCUAGUUGGUAAGGUAACGGCUUACCAAGGCAACGAUGCAUAGCCGACCUGAGAGGGUGAUCGGCCACACUGGAACUGAGACACGGUCCAGACGCCUACGGGAGGCAGCAGUAGGGAUUCUUCCGCAAUGGGCGAAAGCCUGACGGAGCAACGCCGCGUGAGUGAUGAAGGUCUUCGGAUCGUAAAACUCUGUUAUUAGGGAAGAACAUAUGUGUAAGUAACUGUGCACAUCUGGACGGUACCUAAUCAGAAAGCCACGGCUAACUACGU
rnacentral:rRNA from 1 species